UGAAGGAUUCAGAUUGAUAAACUUUACUCGAAAGUUUGAUCCAUAAAUCGAAAUCUGAGAGUGCUACUGGCAUAGGAUUGAAAAGCAUAGACAUGACAUACUGUCUAGCUAGAAUUGGCAAUAAACGAAACACAGCAAGACAAGCAGCUGGCUUUUGGUAAAGCCUUGCAUGAUUUGGUAACUGUUCCAGGAAGUCGUUGAUACUAGACUUGAAUUCUGCUUGCAUGGUGACAAUUUGCGAACCUACUUCAAAAGGUUUAAAUUGGCGGUUGUAAUCUCUCUUUAUUCAGCUGAAUAGAACAAAAUCCAGUGUACUCAACUAAUAAACUUAUUUACGAUUAUCAAUCUUCCAUAAAUGCCAGAUAAGCAAUCAUCGCGAGACCGAAGGUGGAUGGUGAUCAAGAGCGAGUCGAAUUACUGGUAUUAAAUAGGCUAGAAUAACAAGCCAAAGCUUCCGACAAUGACAAUAACAAUUUUUUUU